GAUAGUGAGUGGAUUAGAACCACUGAGGGCGAGGCUACAACUCGCUGCCUAUCCUCGGCCACUCUACC
rnacentral:tRNA from 1 species